rnacentral:rRNA from 1 species
AUGGUUCCAAAUUUACUAUUUCUUGAUAUGUCCUCCAACAUGUUCUCCAGACUCAUACCGAGUGAAUUCGGUAAUCUGACUAGUCUUGAGUCCUUGAACCUAUCGUGGAACAAGCUAUCUGGAGGUUUGCCACCGUCCUUUCCAAUGAUGGGCCAAAUGCUAAACUUUGAUGUUGAGAACAACCACCUCAGUGGCAGCAUCCCGCUAGAAUUGGUUUCAAACUGGACUGAACUUGGCUUUUUCAGUAUUGCAAACAACUCCUUCACCGGAAGCAUUCCACUGGAGAUCAGCAGAUGGGAGUCCCUGCAGUACUUCCUCCUUUCUGGCAACUGCUUCAACAGCUCAAUCCCCGCAGAGCUAGCAUCUUCCCUACGGGUGCUCGACUUGUCCAAUAACUAUCUUACAGGCAUGAUACCAUCGGGGUUUGGUAAAUUAUCAUUCUUAUUACAAUUCCUUGACCUUAGCAGCAACCACUUGGAGGGAGAGAUUCCAGCGAGCUUGUCGCUCCUAUCUGUCAACUACAUAUUCUUGUCCAGUAACAGGUUGACAGGUGUCAUCAACAAGGAUUUCUGUAAGCAACGUCAUCUACAGUUCUUGGAUCUAUCAAACAAUCUCCUGUCUGGAAUGCUCCCUGGUUGCUUAUGGAACCUGCCUAAUCUUACAUACAUGGAUUUGUCAAGCAAUGCCUUUGUUGGAGAAGUCACAACCUUGACGAAUGAUGCUUCUCCAUUAGAAUCAGUACAUUUGUCCAACAACAGCUUCUCUGGAUAUUUUCCAUCUCUUAUAAAGAACUUGGAAACUAUGUUUUUAAGGCGGUAA